rnacentral:rRNA from 1 species
UACGUAGGAUGCGAGCGUUGUCCGGAAUUAUUGGGCGUAAAGAGAACGUAGGCGGUUUGCCAAGUUUGAUCUUAAAGACCGGGGCUUAACUCCGGGAGUGGAUCGAAAACUGGCAGACUAGAGGACGUCAGAGGAAAGUGGAAUUCCCAGUGUAGCGGUGAAAUGCGUAGAUAUUGGGAGGAACACCAGUGGCGAAAGCGACUUUCUGGGACGUUCCUGACGCUGAGGUUCGAAAGCGUGGGGAGCAAACAGG